rnacentral:rRNA from 1 species
GACGGAGGGUGCAAACGUUGUUCGGAAUCACUGGGCGUAAAGGGCGCGUAGGCGGACUUGUAAGUCGGGAGUGAAAACUCGGGGCUCAACCCCGAGCCUGCUUCCGAAACUGUGAGUCUUGAGGACCGGAGAGGAAAGUGGAAUUCCUAGUGUAGCGGUGGAAUGCGUAGAUAUUAGGAAGAACACCAGUGGCGAAGGCGGCUCUCUGGGGUAUUUCUGACGCUGAGGCACGAAAGCCAGGGGAGCGAACGGG